rnacentral:rRNA from 1 species
UACGUAGGGUGCAAGCGUUGUCCGGAAUUAUUGGGCGUAAAGAGCUCGUAGGCGGUUUGUCACGUCGGAUGUGAAAACCCGGGGCUUAACCCCGGGCCUGCAUUCGAUACGGGCUGACUAGAGUUCGGCAGGGGAGACUGGAAUUCCUGGUGUAGCGGUGGAAUGCGCAGAUAUCAGGAGGGACACCGGUGGCGAAGGCGGGUCUCUGGGCAUUACCUGACGCUGAGGAGCGAAAGUGUGGGGAGCGAACAGG